UCCCGGAUGAGCCUUAGGGUAAAAGAGAAAUUGCCUGAAGAUGAGCUCGCGUCUGAUUAGCUAGUUGGUGAGGUAAAAGCUUACCAAGGCAACGAUCAGUAGCUGGUCUGAGAGGAUGAGCAGCCACACUGGGACUGAGACACGGCCCAGACUCCUACGGGAGGCAGCAGUGGGGAAUUUUCCGCAAUGGGCGAAAGCCUGACGGAGCAAGACCGCGUGGGGGAGGAAGGCUCUAGGGUUGUAAACCCCUUUUCUUUGGGAAGAACAAAAUGACGGUACCAAAGGAAUCAGCCUCGGCUAACUCCGUGCCAGCAGCCGCGGUAAUACGGAGGAGGCAAGCGUUAUCCGGAAUGAUUGGGCGUAAAGCGUCCGCAGGUGGCCAUGUAAGUCUGCUGUCAAAACCCAGGGCUCAACUCUGGUCAGGCAGUGGAAACUACAAAGCUAGAGUCUGGUAGGGGCAAAGGGAAUUCCCGGCGUAGCGGUGAAAUGCGUAGAUUUCGGGAAGAACAUCGGUGGCGAAAGCGCUUUGCUAGACCAGAACUGACACUCAGGGACGAAAGCUAGGGGAGCGAAAGGGAUUAGAU
rnacentral:rRNA from 1 species